UCAAAUAUCAAUAGAGUGAUUGUACCUUCUCGAUGCAACCGAACUACUGUAACCAGCCGAGAACGAUCAAUGCUAGGAAGGCAACCAUAUCUUUACAAUGAUGGAAGACCUCUAGACUUAAUCUUUAAUGAGGAGAUUUGGGUUUAGGUCUCUUCUAAAUCAACAGAUCUGACAUCCAACUGAUUAUAUUCAGGUCAGCACAUUAACAUGUCCAACCAGCCUAAUCGGCAUGGGUGAACUCAAGUCAACAAGUAGCCUAACACGAAACUGAAUCUCCCAAGAU
rnacentral:lncRNA from 1 species